GCUUGAGUGUCUCAACAACUUAAUCAUUAAUCAACACACAUCUGUUGGUUGAACUGAAUUUUUUUUCAUGCAGCAGCAAACAAUUCAAUUCUAACAACGCCUCUUUCCUUCAUUUCGAACACAGCCAUUAGUCAAAGCUAGAGUUCAAGAAUUUCAGUAAUUCAUUUCUUUUGUUUUCCUCAGCUUUGUCUUCCUUUGAUUUGUCAAGUUUCAACAAAAUCUUUUUGCCAGAGACAGCACUCCGUCGUGUACCAUCCUCCUUCUCCCGCGCUAAAAACUUAGACAGCUGCACAGGGCUACCACUCUCUUCUGGUUGUUUCUAUACAUCAACUCCGAAUGCCAGGACAAAUCCGCAUAACAAACCAUUCAAGGCAAGUCAAUCAACAGCCCGAUCAUCA
rnacentral:misc_RNA from 1 species